rnacentral:piRNA from 1 species
UGGCCCUUGAAUCUAUAUGAA